ensembl:lncRNA
AAUAAUCCCGAACGCGGUAUGGGUUGGAUGCCAUUUAUUUUUGGGUGUAUCUUUUGUUCGCUGUUUUUGCCUCAGUUAGGGAGUCAGACUGGGGUCGUAACAUAAAUUGGGGACCCUGUAAAGUCAUCUGUGAGGCCCUUGUUGUGGCUGUAUGUAGGGUUGCUCUGCCCCAAUUCGACGUGCUGCACCGGGAUUUGAGAGGAGAAGAUUGUGUGUCGAAGACCGAUAUGUCGGGAGGAAUGUGGAUGUGUGGUUUGUCUGUGAUUGUGUGCAUACUAUUGAGUAGCGAAUAUUUUUCCCGGUGUUUGAGUGAGAUCGCUUGCUAGUUUUAUUGUGUGUGAGUGAAAGAAGUGAGUGGUAGGAUCUUGUGUUGUCCCAUUCCCCCGUUUUGUCUUGUGUUGUGGCUGAGUGUAUGCCUCUAUUAUAAAUAUCAUUAUUAUUAUUAUUAUUAUUAUUAUUAUUAUUAUUAUGGCUAGGUAAUUUAAAUUGAUACGGGACAAGAUAGUGACUGUUCUGUUUAUUAUUUUGGCCUUGCCCAGCCCUGAAGAGAUUUGCUUUCUUAGUGAUUGUUUUGGAUUUUUUCUUUUUUCUUUCUCAUCAUUAAACUUGUAAGAUUCCAAAGAUUUUGAAA